UACGUAGGGGGCAAGCGUUGUUCGGAUUCACUGGGCGUAAAGGGUGUGUAGGUGGCGCGCUAAGUCGGGUGUGAAAUUUCGGAGCUUAACUCCGAAACUGCAUUCGAUACUGGCGUGCUUGAGGACUGGAGAGGAGACUGGAAUUCAUGGUGUAGCAGUGAAAUGCGUAGAUAUCGUAAGGAAGACCAGUGGCGAAGGCGGGUCUCUGGACAGUUCCUGACGCUGAGGCACGAAGGUCAGGGGAGCAAACGGG
rnacentral:rRNA from 1 species